GUGGGGAAUUUUGGACAAUGGGCGAAAGCCUGAUCCAGCAAUGCCGCGUGUGUGAAGAAGGCCUUCGGGUUGUAAAGCACUUUUGGCAGGGAAGAAACAGUGCGUGCUAAUACCAUGCGCGAAUGACGGUACCUGCAGAAUAAGCACCGGCUAACUACGUGCCAGCAGCCGCGGUAAUACGUAGGGUGCAAGCGUUAAUCGGAAUUACUGGGCGUAAAGCGUGCGCAGGCGGCUUUGUAAGACGGAUGUGAAAGCCCCGGGCUCAACCUGGGAAGUGCAUUCGUGACUGCAAGGCUAGAGUGUGUCAGAGGGAGGUGGAAUUCCGCGUGUAGCAGUGAAAUGCGUAGAGAUGCGGAGGAACACCGAUGGCGAAGGCAGCCUCCUGGGCCAACACUGACACUGAGGCACGAAAGCGUGGGGAGCAAACAGGAUUAGAAACCCUGGUAGUCC
rnacentral:rRNA from 1 species